UUAAAUUUUUGAAGUUAUUUUAGCUUUUUUGUUGGGUGAAAUCAGUAUAAAGAGUUUCUCUUUCUUUUAAAAUUAAUAGGAAUUAAAAAACUUUGAUUUAAAACCAGGAUUAGAUACCCUGUUAUUCUAAGUUAUAUUUAGACAGGGUAGUAAAAGUUGUUCUUCAAACCCAAAGAUUUUGGCGGCACUUUAUCCAAAUAGAGGAGCUUGUCCCUUAAUCGAUAGUCCCCGUUUUAUCUUUCCUCUGUUUGUAGAGCUUGUAUACCGCCGUUGUCAGAUUACUUUUAGAGAAUGUUUUCAAGUUAAAAGACUUUUCUACUUCAGGUCAAGGUGCAGUUUAUAUAGAGGUGGAGGUGAGCUACAAUUUUCUUUAGAAAUACGGAUUUCAAGCCUCGAAGCUGGUUGAAGGUGGAUUUAUUAGUAAAGUAA
rnacentral:rRNA from 1 species